UACGUAGGCAGCAAGCGUUGUUCGGAGUUACUGGGCGUAAAGGGUGCGUAGGCGGCCCUGUAAGUAUGGUGUGAAAUCUCCCGGCUUAACUGGGAGGGUGCGCUAUAGACUGCGGGGCUCGAGUGUGGGAGAGGAAAGUGGAAUUCCGGGUGUAGCGGUGGAAUGCGUAGAGAUCCGGAAGAACACCGGUGGCGAAGGCGGUUAGCUGGGCAGUUGCUGACACUGAGGCGCGACAGCGUGGGGAGCAAACAGG
rnacentral:rRNA from 1 species